ACUAUAAUGAUGACUAUGUUAUCGCCCCAGUCUGAAUCAUAAAUGUUGAUUGAUAUUUUCUGAAUAUG